rnacentral:lncRNA from 1 species
UGAAGUUUGUGGCUGUGGCUGUAGAGUAUUUCACUAAGUGGGUAGACACCGAGCCUUUAGCAACAAUUUCAGAGCCGAAGUUAAGAAGUUUCAUUUGGAGAUCCAUCAUAUGCAGGUUCGGGAUACCGAAAGUCCUCAUAACUGAUAAUGGCAGGCAGUUUGACAAUGCACAAUUUAAAAACUUUUGUUCCAACCAAGGGGUUGAUCACCAUUUGACGUCGGUUUCCCAUCCUCAAAGUAAUGGUCUCGCCGAAGUGACCAAUCGGAUUAUAUUACAAGACCUCCGUACAAGGAUCGGCGAUGCAAGAGGUUCCUGGUCUGAUGAGUUACCUUCCAUACUUUGGAUGUAUAGAACGUCACACAGAACUGCUACAGAGAAAACCCCCUUCAUGUUAGCUUUUGGUAUUGAGG